AUCCAUCCAUCACUUGCAGAAAACAAAAGAGAGCAAGAGAGAAGACAGUGGGUGAAGUCCUGGUUCCAGACUCCCCUUUUUGCCGGGAUAUGAUGGAUCUGUCAGCUGGUGCCUAGAGUCCUAGAGAGCUAGAGAUGGAGGGAAAUUCAGAUCAUCUAAACCCUUCAGCCCUUCACUGGACAGAAGAGGAAACUGAGGCUCCAUCUGCAUGACGUUCCCAGAGUCACGGCACAAAUUCAUGGAAGAAGCAGCAGGAAACUCAGUUCUCCAGUCUGGGUCCAAUGUGUGUUUUAGAAAUAUCUCCACAGGGUUAAUGACUCAAUUUUUCAUGCAUGAUUGCUAGUAAUGACAAUCAUGUUAUGUUUGUUUCUGUAGCUUUGGAAAUCACUCCUUCCACUUGAGUUUCAGGUCCCAAUUGUCCACACCUGCAGGAGUGAGGUUUUGCUGAGACUGAUAAGGCACUCACAUUUUGUGGGAGUUGAAUUGUCUCUGUAGCCUAGAAUCUAGAUUUUUUUUCCCUCCUCUGUUCUCAGUGAAUGGAGAAUUCCAUCUCGGUACAAUCUGUGAACCAUUCUGCAGUAAGAUUGUCAUCGUCUCAUUCAUACUACCUGGUCGGUAACACAAAGGGCUGUAAUUGAUGUGGUUCAGAGACUCACAUCCAAGCAAUAAAAAUGAAUCCCUUAUGGUGGUCUGCAGCA
rnacentral:lncRNA from 1 species